rnacentral:tRNA from 1 species
GGAGAGAUGGCUGAGUCUGGUUUAAGGCGCACGACUCGAAAUCGUGUGAGCCGUUAGCAGCGGCUCCGUGGGUUCGAAUCCCACUCUCUCCGCCA